CUAAGUUUGAUGGCGGCCGGCGCACGGGUGAGUAACACGUAUCCAACCUGCCGAUGACUCGGGGAUAGCCUUUCGAAAGAAAGAUUAAUACCCGAUGGCAUAGUUCUUCCGCAUGGUAGAACUAUUAAAGAAUUUCGGUCAUCGAUGGGGAUGCGUUCCAUUAGGUUGUUGGCGGGGUAACGGCCCACCAAGCCUUCGAUGGAUAGGGUUCUGAGAGGAAGGUCCCCCACAUUGGAACUGAGACACGGUCCAAACUCCUACGGGAGGCAGCAUG
rnacentral:rRNA from 1 species